CUUGGUGUGCGUUGAGGAGUUUUUUAAGAACAAGCUUGGAUCGCCAAACCCUAGACAAUAAGCAGAACAUCCUAGACCAUGAAGUGAAUGUCUGGGAUUACUUGACUUGGCAAUGAAACUAACUUUUGAGUGUCCUGAAAGUGAAGUGAGGAACCUUAACAAAAUGGAUGCAGGACAGCUAAGAGAGACACUGGACAGGCAGGAUAAUGCAAUAAAAGGGUGGGCUCUCAGCUG